AAGAAGGCCUUCGGGUUGUAAAGCACUUUUGUCCGGAAAGAAGACGUCCUUACUAAUAUUAGGGGCGGAUGACGGUACCGGAAGAAUUAACGCACCGGCUAAACUACCGUGC
rnacentral:rRNA from 1 species